UCCUGAUGAAAACAACUCUGAUUUGUGCUCUUAUCAACUCUGUUAAGAUGGAGACUGAAAACCCAGGAGUCUGGAGCUGUCUGCACCCCUGGAAUACAGAUCUACAGAAGGAUUAUACUCCAGAGUUUAAAAAUGGAGCUUGGCAGAGAUGCAGAUCCAGUAGAAUCAACUGUCCUGGGGUGGACAUGGCGCAGCCUUCAUAUGUGAAGACUUUAUGGACAUUUCAUAGUGCUUCCCGGAGCUGAGAUGCUGACUUGCCAGAGCUUCCUCUCUGUGGAAUGUCGCUGAGGGUUGGAUGUUUCCUGAAACCUUGGAAACUGCGGCUUUAUUUCUGUGAUUCUUUAUCUUCCCAGACAAAUGUUCCUUCAAGUUAAAUGAUUGCAUGUGCUGCCUAGUGGCACACAAAUAUCCAGCUGUGAGGCUUCAAUAGGGUGAUCUCUUCACCAUGUUCUUCCCUAAGUCACACCAGCUUAGCUCGAACUUCUCUUCAUCCCCUUUGAAGCCAAGCAGGCUGCUCUGAGACUCCAGCUCAAUGUCACUCCCUCCAGGAUGUUGCUGGGCACAGAAAUUUCACAAUCCAUCUCCGUGGUUUUCUCUGACACAAGUUCAGCCCUACUUGUGUCACUGAUGCUGUGUCUCGUAACAGAACAUAGAAGGUGCCUCCUUUGAUUGGGCUUUUGCUUCUCAACCAAUAAGUUGAACAAGUGACUUAAAAUUAUUUCUUGUAUUAUUGGGCUUUGGUGGGAAACUCUCUUGGUAGGGCAGAGUUAGAUGGGGCUGAGAGAUAAUUCAGAGCUAGGCUGACUCCUCUCUCUUUAGGCAGGUGUCUGAGGGAGGGUCAGCCUCCCAUCCUGAUGAAUGAGGAUGUAUGUAUGCUUACUAUUGCAAAGAAGAGAUAAUGACAAAAAGCAAAUGUCAUCUGUGGACUUUGAACCACAUCCAAGGUUGUAAUAGCAGCUCCCAGUAUAUAGUGUUCUACCGUUGUAAUCUAAUAGUUGGUCUUUCUUUCCUCUUAGACUAUUUUAAGCUGUGUUAUAAGAAUGGAUGGCAGCUGUGUACUGGCUUUGAAAACUCUGCCCCCUGAUGUCUAGAAGUAGCCUGAUCAACUGAGAGUACCAUUUGCAACAUCUGAGGUUCAGCACAAGAUUAACAAGUAGGCACGGCUUUCAAGCCUCUGUUAAGCUGGUGGCAAGAGAUAUCAGAACUUGGGAGAAAAUGCAGAAUUCCUGAGUGUGGAUUGGGAAC
rnacentral:lncRNA from 1 species